rnacentral:rRNA from 1 species
AACCUCCGCAAUGUGAGAAAUCGCGACGGGGGGAUCCCAAGUGCCAUUCUUAACGGGAUGGCUUUUCAUUAGUGUAAAGAGCUUUUGGAAUAAGGGCUGGGCAAGACCGGUGCCAGCCGCCGCGGUAACACCGGCAGGCUCUAGUGGUAGCAGUUUUUAUUGGGCCUAAAGCGUCCGUAGCCGGUUUAAUAAGUCUCUGGUGAAAUCCUGUAGCUUAACUGUGGGAAUUGCUGGAGAUACUAUUAGACUUGAGACCGGGAGAGGUUAGAGGUACUCCCAGGGUAGAGGUGAAAUUCUGUAAUCCUGGGAGGACCGCCUGUUGCGAAGGCGUCUAACUGGAACGGUUCUGACGGUGAGGGACGAAAGUUAGGGGCGCGAACCGGGAUUGGAUACCCGGGUAGUCCUAACCGUAAACGAUGCGGACUUGGUGUUGGGGUGGCUUUGAGCUGCUCCAGUGCCGAAGGGAAGCUGUUAAGUCCGCCGCCUGGGAAGUACGGUCGCAAGACUGAAACUUAAAGGAAUU